UGCCCGGAUGGCGGAAUUGGUAGACGCGCACGACUCAAACUCGUGUACUUAGGUGUGUGGGUUCGAUUCCCACUCCGGUAC
rnacentral:tRNA from 1 species